rnacentral:rRNA from 1 species
AUGACAAUGGAGGCCUUCGUCGUUGACGGAGGAAAUGAUGGGACAGUUGCCCGUUGGGGUUUGCGGCCGGUCACAGGUGAUCGGUCGUGGGGGUCGUACAUGAGGUUUGCAAGCAAUCCCAAUAACUCAAUGUAUGGUCAGCCGAUGGUGUAUGUGGAGUUCAUUUCAGUCACUGAUGUUGCCGGAUGCAGUAGCAGGGGUGGUGAGGUCGAGUUGGCCAUCACAUCAGCCCCUAGCGUCGGCCCAUCGGAACCGACGGGCGGCCAGCCUGUGUAUGACACAGGAUAUUGGUCUGCGGCCGUUGACAUGAGCGAACACGUGGAGGGAUUGCUGGAGGCGCUAGAUGAUGAUGAUCAUUCUUCUGCGUCUUCAGAGUCAAGCGAAGAAGAAGAUGUUCCUCCUCAGAGGGCGGUCGCGGCGGCACUGCAACCUGGGUUUUUACAGGAUAUGAGCAUCACCAAUGAAUUUCACUCUGCUUCUGGCCUAGGAGCAGGGAGCCUGGAGGUUGGGUAA